AAACUUUAGCUUACCUCUCCUUUAACUAACUAACCACACUGUAGAUAAAAAUCAUAUUUUUAUAGCAAACUUUCGAAGGGAUUACAAACUGUGUUUGUAGAAACUAUUUUCAUCAUUAAAAUCUCUGUAUUGUGUAUUAAAUGCCUCUGAGAGUUUUUCUUAUUUUUCUAUUAUUUAUUACAGUCUAAAUCAUUUAUGACUCAUUUAUGAUAGUGUUUUAUUUUAAUUAUAAUUCCACCUUAUGUAAUAAUGCUGUAUUUUGAUUGGAUGAGAACCAUGGUAUUUUUCACCAAUUUCUAUAUAUAUUGAGAUUUUCUUUUCUCUGCCGGGGUAUUUGCCAUUAGGGAAUUCCAUAUGCCGGGGUAUUUGCUAGCAAAUACCAUGUCAGAUGGGAAAUACCCUAGCAAAUACCAUGGCAGAUGGGGAAUACCAUGUCUAAAAAUAACUCAAUGAAUUAUUUCUAUUCUAAUAUGACAAAUUCAUGGUUCUAGAUGAAAUAUUUAGGAUAAAAAGCAUCAUUAUUGAAUUUGGAUCGAAUGACAUAAAAAUUACGGGAAUGACGUCAUAAAUAAAACUCAACGGAAACGAAUUGUCAACCGGUCACAAAAAACUGGAAUCCAUUUGUAUUAAGCUUCACUGAAACUGAUGAACAAAGUGAAUUGAUCAGCCGAGAACCAGCUUAUUAUCAUAAAAAUGGAGAUAUAUAUACAGUCAGUGACUGAUCAUAAAAAAAAUUAUAAGAAAUGAGUAUACGGUGAAAGCAAUUUGACUGCGCAAAUAGCACAGCUGCAGUGUAUACACAAAUUAUACAUUCAAGUCAAAAUUUCAUAUGAUACCUGAUUAUAAUAAACUUUCUGAGGUGGAACAUUCGGUGGAAUUAAACAAUUAUAUCAUGCUUACAAGGGGUAUUUGCCAAAAACACCGGUUUCGAGGUAAUCAAAUUUCCCUCGCCUAACGGCUCUGGAAAUUUGUACCUCUCAACCGGUAUUUUUGGCAAAUACCCCUUGUAAGCAUGAUAUAUUUGUAUAUAUACUCCAGAUUUAUUAUUGUUUGUUUGGUACUAGUUUUCCCGGAUUUUGUUGGCACAUAUGUAUUUAAGGUAGACUAUGACAUUUUUAAAAUGUUCAACAAAGCUCACAUUUCCUAAAUAUAUUUUUGCAGAAUUUUUUUAGAAUCAUGCAACCAAACAUCCAUGAAAAUAAAAUUUUCUCUUAAUCCACAAAAUUGUUGCAAAUAAAUAAAUUAUAACGAGAACAUCAACAUUCCCUUAUAGUCUGUUCGCUAUUACAUUUUAAUCUGCUCAACUAUAUCUCUUCAUAUUUUCGGGUUCUUUUGUAAGAUUUUGUGAUUUUGAUAGAGUUGACUUUUAAGUUUAAAAAAAUAGUACUCAUUUAAAAGUUGCCAAUUUUUUUUUAUUAUUCCAUGAUGAUUGACAAGUACAGUCAAACUUUUUUAUCAAGGAAAGCAAGGAGAAAACACAUAAUAGUCUUCUAUAUAAAUGUUAGUCGUUUUGAUAGUUUCAUGGAAAUAACAUGAAUCUUGCAUUUUUUCAGAAUUUAAAUGGCUGAGCAUGAAAACAUUGUACUAAUUGAAAUUAUUUGUCUUUUAUAAAGUCAAACUGUUUAUGGAAGUAACAAGGCUUGAAUUUUACAAUAGGGAUUUGUCUUAUACUAAUCUUUCCUUAAGCUUUCGGUAUAAUUGUUAAGAAUAUUAGCCAAUAUUAAGACAUUCUUUUUUCCAAAAAAUAAAUAUUGAAAUUAUAAAAAUGCCCUUUGCCCUUCCUAAGAAAUGUCAGCUAGACAUGUUAAAAUAAAAGGCAGAUAUUCAAAGCACAGGUACUUGUUUUUGAAAAGAAUUUGCAAUUUACAAAUGAUUUACCUUAAAAUAACACAUAUAACAGUAUAAAGGAUUUUUUUAGAGACAUUUGUGCCUGUGAUACAUACAGCACAGUGAAUUUAGGGCUUCGACACUGCCUCAUAUGCCCUUUACCGUCAGGCGUCAAACGGUCAAUUUCGGCUACGGUUAGCGUCAAAUUGGUUAAAAUUAUACCGUGAUUUAUCAAAAUAUCUUUAUUGUGAUACGUCAGAGGUCUCAAAUAAUUAUCGUUAUGGUUAUUUCUGGGGAAACAAUAGCAUGAUUCGUCAAAUUCAGCGGAUUUUUUAAGCGUCUAAAAGGAAGUGUACAUUUUAUUGUCAUGCAAUUAAAAUUACCAUUAAUAUUAUUUGGCAAGAAUUUUUACCGUUAACGUCAAUUGGCAAGAAUUUUUUCCGUUAUAUGUCAUGAAGGUACCCCCAUCACUACCCUUAUAUAUAGAUGUGGAGGUGCUUACAAGACCAGAUUUUCGCAUUUAUUAAAUAACAAGUUUGAAAACUUUUUUUCAUGCUGGUUAUCGUUUAAGAAAUUUUUACUGACAGUACAAGCCCCUCAUGGUUAGUCAAGGUUGUUAAAAUACUAUGUUCGUUUAAAGAGACUUAAAAUAUAUGCAAAUUAUACAGCUAUAAUAGCAUCAUAUUGAUAAAAAGAAUACAAUUCCAGUUAACCGUACUUCUAUUCAAUAAAUUUUGGUAAUAUCUGUUAUCACUAUAUAUGUACAUUAAAAUGAUAUUCUUUGUAAUUUGUAUCAUUUAGCAGUGUACCACAUUUUAGAUCAAAACUUAAAUUGUUGUUUAAAAUGAUUUAUCAAGUACAUAAACUUUUUGUUUAGAUGCACAAAUACAUCCUAUACUAGCUGUGAUCUGGACUUUUGUGAAAUCAUUUCAGUGUAUUGUCAUCACAGUAUUAGAAAGAGCAUUGCUUCAGCUGUUAGCACAGAAAAUACCAGGAAAAACUAUAUGCUCAUUUGUUAAUAAAGUUUGGGACCAAACCCCAUCCUUAACCCCCCCCUACCACAAAUCAUCUUUGAUAAGUUUAUUCUUUUUGGCUUCUUUUUCCAUUAAAGCUUGCACAACCAUGCUUUGUAUAUUGUUGGAACGCAUAAAAUGCAUAAUGACUUUUUUUGUAGUUUAUAUUUUUCGUUUUAAACUUGGAAAGUGUUGAAUCCAGAUAUACUAGUAUUGAAUGUGACAAUCAAAAUUUCACCUAGAUUACUUUGUUUGCAGCUGUUUGAUUGUAACAACAAUGUACUUAAAUGGACAGAAUAUGCAUGAUUCUGAUGUGUACAUUUUUAAAAUUUCCUCUUGGAAACUAUUGUUAAAAUUAAAUCUAGCACUGAAAUCUAUUUUUGGACUGUCUUACAUAUGUUUAAGUUUAGUUCUAUAAUCAUAUUUCCCUGUAUUUCUUUCUUUGUGGAUGCUAAGUUAUUCUUAUGACUUCUUUAUUUUAAUGAGUUUUCAUAUUUACAAUAACCAUUUUCACUUAAAAUUUAAUUUAAAGAAAACAUAACUAUAAAUACUAGUAGUCAAUAACACAAUUUUCUUAAUGCAGUCAUAUCCCCUAAAAAUUCAUUUAAAUGAAAUAUGCUCUGCAACAAUUAUAGGCAUGAAAAAAUUGUGCCCAUGUUAUAUUGAAUUUACAACGAGAUAAUCAAAUCCUCAGCAGCCAACAUAUGUCAAAAGAUAUUUUUUAUUUUUUAGAAAAUGUAAAUUUAUGGCAUAUUAACGUCCAGUUAUAUGUCCAACAUAAAUAUUUAUUACACAAGUUAUGGCAAAUUUUCUGAUCAAAUAAUUUCUCAAUGAUUAUGGAUUGUACAUCUGACAAUGAGAAGAGCAAACAAAUGACACUAAAAACAAAAGGACGUCUAGAGAUCAAACUUUGCAACAUAAGUAUUAUACAUGUGUGUAUUAUAUUCAGAUUAAAGUUUAUUAAGCAACAUAAGUUUUGCAUUCAUAUGAUUUAUAGAAAUUUAAAAGCAUAGAAUGAAGUUGAUGAUUUUUGUUAUGUAUAAUAUUUUUUCUAAUUUACCGAAUUAUUAUUUCUCAGAGAUUUAUAUUUUUGUAGAACGUUUGUAAAUGUCAUGUCUUUUUAUCAAUAGAUGUGUAUUUAUAGCUCUAA
rnacentral:lncRNA from 1 species